AGUGAACGCUGGCGGUAGGCCUAACACAUGCAAGUCGAACGGCAGCACAGGAGAGCUUGCUCUCUGGGUGGCGAGUGGCGGACGGGUGAGGAAUACAUCGGAAUCUACUCUGUCGUGGGGGAUAACGUAGGGAAACUUACGCUAAUACCGCAUACGACCUACGGGUGAAAGCAGGGGAUCUUCGGACCUUGCGCGAUUGAAUGAGCCGAUGUCGGAUUAGCUAGUUGGCGGGGUAAAGGCCCACCAAGGCGACGAUCCGUAGCUGGUCUGAGAGGAUGAUCAGCCACACUGGAACUGAGACACGGGCCAGACUCCUACGGGAGGCAGCAGUGGGGAAUAUUGGACAAUGGGCGCAAGCCUGCUCCAGCCAUACCGCGUGGGUGAAGAAGGCUUUCGGGUUGUAAAGCCCUUUUGUUGGGAAAGAAAUCCAGCUGGCUAAUACCCGGUUGGGAUGACGGUACCCAAAGAAUAAGCACCGGCUAACUUCGUGCCAGCCGCCGCCGUAA
rnacentral:rRNA from 1 species